rnacentral:tRNA from 4 species
GAGCCGUUAGCUCAGUUGGCAGAGCACCGGACUUUUAAUCCGGGUGUCCCGGGUUCAAGUCCCGGACGGCUCACCA